GUGAGUCAUCGAGUCUUUGAACGCACCUUGCGCUCCUUGGUAUUCCGAGGAGCAUGCCUGUUUGAGUGUCAUGUUCUCCUCAGUCCCUUCAGAUUUUUCUGUUGCUGGUACUGGAUAUUGGAAGCUGCUGGAACAUAUCCUUUCAGCUCUUCUUAAAUGCAUUAGCGUGAAUAUUUGUCAAGCGCUCUCCAGUGUAAUAAUUAUCUACGCCGUCGAGCUAUUGAUGAGAUUAUCUGUUCAUGCUUCAAAUCGUUCUGUAGUAGAACAAAUCAUUUACAUUUGACCUCAAAUCAGGUAGGACUACCCGCUGAACUUAAGCAUAUCAAUAAGCGGAGG
rnacentral:rRNA from 1 species